ACUACACAGCCAGAAAUCUCACAGGCCUGUCGCAAGCUGUUGAUUUUACCGGCUUGCGGCAAGUUGUCAACAAGUCGCGACAGGUCUGUUGGUUUCGUCAGGCGGUAACAGGCUUGCGGGAACAGGUCUGUCGCAAGCUGUUGACAACAGAGCCGUAGCACAGAAUAGGGAGUUAUACCAGAAGCAUAACUCGAGCAAAUAUUUGUCCGCGUUUUUACAAGCGAUUCGUCAUCAAUCACGCCAUCGUGGCUAGUACAACCGGCACUUUGUACCUACCAAAUCCUGAUAAAAACUUCCGGCUGUACUAGCCAGGAUGGCGUGGCCUGACGUGAGCGAGUUAAAAUUUUCGUGGACGUCAAACAAUAAGGGAAACGACUAGAGUUACGCUUCUGGUAUAACUUCCUAUUCUGUG